rnacentral:rRNA from 1 species
UACGGGAGUGGCAAGCGUUAUCCGGAAUUAUUGGGCGUAAAGCGUCCGCAGGCGGCCUUGUAAGUCUGUCGUUAAAGCGUGGAGCUUAACUCCAUUUCAGCGAUGGAAACUACAAGGCUUGAGUGUGGUAGGGGCAGAGGGAAUUCCCGGUGUAGCGGUGAAAUGCGUAGAUAUCGGGAAGAACACCAGUGGCGAAGGCGCUCUGCUGGGCCAUCACUGACGCUCAUGGACGAAAGCCAGGGGAGCGAAAGGGAUUAGAUACCCCUGUAGUCCUGGCCGUAAACGAUGAACACUAGGUGUCGGGGGAAUCGACCCCCUCGGUGUCGUAGCCAACGCGUUAAGUGUUCCGCCUGGGGAGUACGCACGCAAGUGUGAAACUCAAAGGAAUUGACGGGGGCCCGCACAAGCGGUGGAGUAUGUGGUUUAAUUCGAUGCAACGCGAAGAACCUUACCAGGGCUUGACAUCCCGCGAACCUCUGAGAAAUCGGAGGGUGCCUUCGGGAACGCGGAGACAGGUGGUGCAUGGCUGUCGUCAGCUCGUGUCGUGAGAUGUUGGGUUAAGUCCCGCAACGAGCGCAACCCACGUUUUUAGUUGCCAGCAUUCAGUUGGGCACUCUAGAAAGACCGCCGGUGAUAAACCGGAGGAAGGUGUGGAUGACGUCAAGUCAUCAUGCCCCUUACGUCCUGGGCUACACACGUACUACAAUGCUACGGACAAAGGGCAGCAAACUCGCGAGAGCUAGCAAAUCCCAUAAACCGUGGCUCAGUUCAGAUCGUAGGCUGCAACUCGCCUACGUGAAGGAGGAAUCGCUAGUAAUCGCAGGUCAGCAUACUGCGGUGAAUACGUUCCCGGGCCU